GACGAACCGUGCGAACGUUAUUCGGAAUCACUGGGCUUAAAGCGCGUGUAGGCGGGCCGUCACGUCGGCUGCUGAAAUCCCCCGGCUCAACCGGGGAACGGGCACCGAUACGAGCGGCCUCGAGGGGGGUAGGGGGGUCUGGAACUUCCGGUGGAGCGGUGAAAUGCGUUGAGAUCGGAAGGAACGCCCGUGGCGAAAGCGAGGCCCUGGACCCUUACUGACGCUGAGACGCGAAAGCCAGGGGAGCGAACGGG
rnacentral:rRNA from 1 species